rnacentral:rRNA from 1 species
UGCGUAGGCGGGCUAAUAAGUCAGUGGUGAAAUCUUCCGGCUCAACCGGGAACCUGCCAUUGAUACUGUUAGUCUUGAGUUCGGUUGAGGUAGGCGGGAUGUGUAAUGUAGCGGUGAAAUGCUUAGAUAUUACACAGAACACCAAUUGCGUAGGCAGCUUACUAGACCGACACUGACGCUGAGGCACGAAAGCGUGGGGAGCGAACAGGAUUAGAUACCCUGGUAGUCC